CAACCCUUAAGCUUAGCUUAGUGUUGGGAGACUACCUAACGGUAACUCCCUAAAACCAUUGGCAGAGUUAUACACCUCUGAGCGCAGUAAUUUUACCUCGCUUUUGCGGCUUGUAUUAGCUAUCGCCACAAACCUAUAAUUUUCAAU
rnacentral:misc_RNA from 1 species